CGUAUUUUAGUUUGAUACCCCGAAACCAGGUGAGCUACUCCAAGACAGCCUAUUUACAGGGCCAACCCGUCUCUGUGGCAAAAGAGUGGGAGGAUCUUAGAGUAGAGGUGACAGACCUACCGAACCUUGUUAUAGCUGGUUGCCCGGGAAUUGAAUAGAAGUUCAGCUUUUCAGAUUCUUUUUUUAAUUAAGUAAUUCACUUCUAAAAACCCGAGAAACUGAAAAAGUUAGUCAAAGGGGGUACAGCCCGUUUGAACAAAGACACAACUUUAUAGGGAGGGUUAAGAUCAUAAUUAAGCUAAGGAAGAACACUUAGGUUGGCCUAAAAGCAGCCACC
rnacentral:rRNA from 1 species